rnacentral:rRNA from 1 species
CCUACGGGUGGCUGCAGUGAGGAAUAUUGGUCAAUGGGCGCUAGCCUGAACCAGCCAAGUAGCGUGAAGGAUGACUGCCCUAUGGGUUGUAAACUUCUUUUAUAUGGGAAUAAAGUGCAGUAUGUAUACUGCUUUGCAUGUACCUUAUGAAUAAGGAUCGGCUAACUCCGUGCCAGCAGCCGCGGUAAUACGGAAGGCCCGAGCGUUAUCCGGAUUCAUUGGGCUUAAAGGGAGCGUAGGCGGGCGUUCAAGUCAGCUGUAAAAUCGCGCGGCUCAACCGCGCCCCGCAGUUGAAACUGGACGCCUUGAGUUCACAACAGGCAGGCGGAAUUCGUGGUGUAGCGGUGAAAUGCAUAGAUAUCACGAGGAACCCCGAUUGCGAAGGCAGCCUGCCGGGGUGCGACUGACGCUGAGGCUCGAAGGUGCGGGUAUCAAACAGGAUUAGAUACCCCGGUAGUC